UGGGGAAUAUUGCACAAUGGGCGAAAGCCUGAUGCAGCAACGCCGCGUGAGCGAAGAAGGCCUUCGGGUCGUAAAGCUCUGUCCUCAAGGAAGAUAAUGACGGUACUUGAGGAGGAAGCCCCGGCUAACUACGUGCCAGCAGCCGCGGUAAUACGUAGGGGGCAAGCGUUAUCCGGAUUUACUGGGCGUAAAGGGUGCGUAGGUGGUCUUACAAGUCAGGAGUGAAAGGCUACGGCUCAACCGUAGUAAGCUCUUGAAACUGUUAGACUUGAGUGCAGGAGAGGAGAGUGGAAUUCCUAGUGUAGCGGUGAAAUGCGUAGAUAUUAGGAGGAACACCAGUUGCGAAGGCGGCUCUCUGGACUGUAACUGACGCUGAGGCACGAAAGCGUGGGGAGCAAACA
rnacentral:rRNA from 1 species